GGGGUACACCCUGGACAGGUUGCCAGUCCAUCGCAGGUCCCUCAACCCCUUUUCCCUCAAACCUCCUUCGCUCUGAGUGCUGCAUUUGGGUUCUGUCCCCACACCACCUGUAACAAAUAUAAAUAUUAUAGUUACAUGACAUUAUUUACCACUUCAUAGACCCAGAAAAAGGCAAAUGCAAGGCCCUUGGAAUUCAUCAGUCUGGAAAUGGCAUGGUGCGAAGAACCUUGACACAAAAAUAGCAGCAUUUCAAAAGAUUGUAUAAGACGGUAGAAGAUGCAGCGUAUAUGCCUUGAAAUAUGAAAAACCUACGAUACAUUGCAAAGGAUUGUGAAGAACACUCACAAGUGGAGUGGGGAUGCCUAGAAGGAGGAGCCUUCUCCCAGAUGACCCCAGACAGCUUGGUUUGGUGCCCCCUGCACCAGCCACAUCAGUCAGAAGAGGUCUAGGACAGUUAUUCCAACCAGCAUCUGAUGUGGAAGGACCCCCAUAGGCGAUCACAUUGCAUGUUUCCUGGUACUUGUCAGGCAGCAUCACAAGGGAAAAAACUUCAGUUCACUGACAAAGUCAUAGCUUUUUACUUUAAAAAUUUUUUUUUAUUUACAUUAAAUUUUGUUCCUACCCUCCUCCAGUGGCUAUUUCAUGUUUUUCCAAUUUAUACACAUUUCAUCUUAUUCUGCUAAGUACACUGUGACCAGCACAUUAUUUUCAGUAGGUAGCCUAAAUUACAGUUUACAAUUUGAACAGUAAUGAUAAGUAAGGCUACAGCUGUCCUCUAUGUAAAUAUAACUAGAAUUGGAAAUGUUAUGGCAAAGGUUGAAAUUCUAAACACAUGUACAAAUGUGUAUAAUGAAAAUAAACACCAUGUGCUUCUAUUA